rnacentral:lncRNA from 1 species
GUGUAUCCAGGAGGUGUGGAAGAAGCCGUAUAUCUUGGGUGGAGUGUCUGCUCUGAUGCAAUCUGGGGUGCUGUGAGUGGAAUACCAACUUCAUGUACACUUGGCUUAUUCAGCACCCAUAAAAUUCAAUGGACCACCAUCCGGACAAAAGGAUAAAAACAGAACACAUCAAGAUAAUGAAUUUUCUUCAAACUACUGAGGUACAAUGAAAAAUGGAAAUAUUAUCUCAGAAAUUACAACAGAGGGAUGAAGAUAUAGCAUAUGCUGUACCUAAAAGAUACAUCAAAUGGGACAUUGGGAAUAUGGAUUGAUGAAAUUUAAUUUGCGAUUGUCCUAUAAUGCCUUUUCAUUACAGUACCACACAAAUUGAGGCAAUAAAUGUAUAUUUGAUCAAAAAAG